rnacentral:lncRNA from 1 species
CAAAGGCUCUAACAGAAGAAUUUAGCUCCAAGCCAGAAGAAUCUAUGUUAAGUGUGAGUGAACAAGUAUCUCAGGAAAUCCAUCAAGGUCUUAAAGAAACGGGUCUAACUGCUCUGAGCAGUGAAAAUAGGGCAUCACUUGUAGGACAACUCCGAAACAUUGCCAAAAAAGAGAAUUGCAUUCGUACCAUCAUCGAACAACGGAUACAUUUAUUUCUGAAGUGCUGUUUGAUUCGAGGCAUGCAAGAAUCUCUUCUGGACUUCCCCGGAGGCCUUCUUUUCAUUGAGCCAGAGCUGGCAGAACUGGGUUGGAAGUUUGUUAAUCUGAUGCAUCACAACCAGCAUGUGUUUAGCCCUUACUAUGCUGAAAUCCUAAAAAAUAUCAUCUCUCCGCCCAGUACAGAAGAAAACGAGGAAAAACCUUUCUGACAAUGCUGGUCCCAAGUCCUGGCACCAGGAAUCCAAAGAGAGGUCUCCUUAUAUUCCUGAAAUAACAUCACCUGUGGCCAACAACUGAGGUGACCCUCUUCAUCGUCGUUAACAGCCAGGAUGCAACUGUAAUGGCCAACCAUACAAACUCCAAAUGGCCCAAUGCCCUCCGUUAAUAAAUUCUUGGGCUGCAAG